UACGGAGGGUGCAAGCGUUAUCCGGAUUCACUGGGUUUAAAGGGAGCGUAGGUGGGCUGGUAAGUCAGUGGUGAAAUCUCCGGGCUUAACAUGGAAACUGCCAUUGAUACUACUGAUCUUGAAUUUUCAGGAGGUAAGCGGAAUAUGUCAUGUAGCGGUGAAAUGCUUAGAUAUGACAUAGAACACCAAUUGCGAAGGCAGCUGACUACAGGGAUAUUGACACUGAGGCACGAAAGCGUGGGGAUCAAACAGG
rnacentral:rRNA from 1 species